GCACUCUUCUCUCUUAUCUUCCGGCAUUCACCUUAGAACCAAGCCGAUUCGCGUUUGCUAUUGGUUACACAGCAUCCUCUUCAUCGUCUGGUGCUAUCGUCUCCAGAAGUGAAAGCAUUGAGAUUAAAUCGUUGCCGAUGAAGUCUAUCGCUCAGUGAACAUAAGUAUGGGUCCUUUAGAGGAAAGGAUGAUGCUUUCGGGCAUGCACACAGUUGCAAAUAUAUUCUGCUGUUGCUGCGGACAGAAUGUUGGCUGGAAAUAUGCAAGUCUCGCUUUAGCCGCACUUCCAUUCUUCUUGGGAGCGGUUUCUCGUUUUUCUCUUUGUUUCUUUGUUUCUUUGUUAGGAAUCAGCGCAUGAGAAAGAUCAGAAAUAUAAAGAAGGCAAAUUUGUACUAGAAAGAUUGAAGAUGCAUGAGGAGAGUUCAUCAAGGUGUAAAACUGAUGAGGAUGUUCAGGAAGGAGCUGUUCCUCCUUAUCUUCUUGAUCGUGAGAAUACCUCGGGCUGAGGUUUGUUUUUUGUUUCAGAGUUGAUGUAGGUUCUUAGCAACACUAUUAAACAAAAGAGGAAAAGUAUGUGUUUAGUUUGAGAUGCUAAGCUUUGUUCUUACUCAUCAUCAUCAUAUAUGCCUAGUACCAAGUUUUUUUUU